rnacentral:tRNA from 3 species
GCCGGUGUAGCUCAGUUGGUAGAGCAUCCGCCUUGUAAGCGGGAGGUCAUGAGUUCGAACCUCAUCAUCGGCU